CUACGGGAGGCUCCAGUGAGGAAUAUUGCACAAUGGGGGGAACCCUGAUGCAGCAACGCCGCGUGGAGGAUGACGCAUUUCGGUGUGUAAACUCCUUUUAUAUGUCAAGAAAAUGACGGUAGCAUAUGAAUAAGCACCGGCUAACUCCGUGCCAGCAGCCGCGGUAAUACGGAGGGUGCAAGCGUUACUCGGAAUCACUGGGCGUAAAGGACGCGUAGGCGGGUUGGGAAGUCAGGUGUGAAGUCCUACAGCUUAACUGUAGAACUGCACUUGAAACUUCUAAUCUAGAGUAUGGGAGGGGGAGAUGGAAUUAGUGGUGUAGGGGUAAAAUCCGUAGAUAUCACUAGGAAUACCUAAAGCGAAGGCGAUCUCCUGGAACAUUACUGACGCUAAGGCGUGAAAGCGUGGGGAGCAAACAGGAUUAGAUACCCCCGUAGUC
rnacentral:rRNA from 1 species